rnacentral:rRNA from 1 species
GCCUGCCCAGUGACCUAGUUCAACGGCCGCGGUAUCCUAACCGUGCGAAGGUAGCGUAAUCACUUGUUCUUUAAAUGAGGACUAGUAUGAAUGGCACCACGAGGGUUAAACUGUCUCCUCUUUCUAAUCAAUGAAACUAAUCUCCCCGUGAAGAAGCGGGGAUGAACACAUAAGACGAGAAGACCCUAUGGAGCUUCAAACUACAUAGCAUCAGCCUUACACCCAUAAAUUCCAGAACAAUAAAAAUUACCCUGGCUGUAUUGACUAUUAGUUUUAGGUUGGGGUGACCGCGGAGUAUAAAUCAACCUCCACCUUGAAUGGAAAAUCCCUGAGCAAAAAGCUACAACUUUAAGCACCAACAAAUUGACAUUAAUUGACCCAAUAAUUUGAUCAACGAACCAAGUUACCCUAGGGAUAACAGCGCAAUCCAUUUCAAGAGCCCCUAUCGACAAAUGGGUUUACGACCUCGAUGUUGGAUCAGGGUAUCCCAGUGGUGCAGCCGCUACUAAUGGUUCGUUUGUUCAACGAUUAAAACCCUACGUGAUCU